ensembl:lncRNA
AAUCAAUCUGCCAUCGCUGUAAUGGGUUGUGUCCUCUAGCGAGAUGGGCCGUAGUUUCCAGCAGAGGUCUUGGUCUCAUUCGUGAGCAAGCGUCACAGUCCUGACAUGCCUGGACAAUAUCUGGUAACUGUAUGGGCAACCCCCAUGCUUUAGCUGCUGCCCACAUGGUUUUCUGUCCUGCAUGCCGUACUUUCCGAUGCAGCCAGUGAGCUAUGUCUUCUGAUGGUGUACUUCCCAACCAUCGGACUCGAGCCAGUGUGUCAGCUUCAUCAUUGCCUGGUGACUGCAAGGGUUGAUGUCCAGAGACGUGGUAUGCUCGUAUGGUCCUGUGCCUAACCACGUUCCAUAUAUCAACCCACAUAUCUUUGCCCCAGAUAGGUCAGGCAUGGAUUGUCCAAUCCUGAGUGGCCCACUGUGCUAUCCAGAGCGUGAGCCCUCAGUAGACUGCCCAACUAUCUGUGCAGAUGUUUAGUGCACUGUUGCCAGGCUCUUGAGUUAUCACCAUCCACACAGCUCGUAGCUCAGCCCACUGACUACUUUGUCCAUCUCCUUCUUCAAACCAUAUUGUUUCAGUUGAGGGAUGGUAUGCGACAGCUCGCCACCUACUUGGGUUCCCUCUGCUGGAUCCAUCUGUAUACCAGGCACCUUCUGGGAUAGGGUAUUUCCCCUCCUGUACAGGACUCUUUUCUGGACAAGUAACCACUAUUUCCUCAGGUGUCUCGCUGUGAUAUGUUACUGGCCCAAGUAUCUUUUGAAGUUAUUCCUUCAGUGGAGAUGAUGGCAGGCGGCUUCUUUGGCUAAGAUAGGCAACCCAGCGUGCUACUGUUUGUGAUUGGGCCACCCCGGUCUUAGGAAUGUGAGUUAGGUCUUUUACCCACCCCUGAACUGGUAAAGUUGUUUUGACAAUAACCUCUGCGGUCUGAGUUAUUGGUUCUACUGCCUGCAAUGCAGAAUAGGUAGCCAAUAACUGCUUUUCAACCACGCUGUAUCUCUCCUCUGCUUCAUGCCAAAUCUGCGACCGGAACCCAAUUGGGAUUCAAACAGA